UAGGGAAUUUUCCACAAUGGGGGCAACCCUGAUGGAGCAACGCCGCGUGCAGGAUGAAGGCUUUCGGGUCGUAAACUGCUUUUAUUUGUGACGAUUAUGACAGUAGCAAAUGAAUAAGGGUCGGCUAACUACGUGCCAGCAGCCGCGGUCAUACGUAGGACCCGAGCGUUAUCCGGAAUUACUGGGCGUAAAGAGUUGCGUAGGUGGUUUGUUAAGUGAAUAGUGAAAUCGUGCGGCUCAACCGUAUACACAUUAUUUAAACUGGCAGACUUGAGUAUGGUAGAGGUCACUGGAAUUCCAAGUGUAGGAGUGAAAUCCGUAGAUAUUUGGAGGAACACCGAUGGCGUAGGCAGGUGACUGGGCCAUUACUGACACUGAGGCACGAAAGCGUGGGGAGCAAACGGG
rnacentral:rRNA from 1 species